ACUCCUCAUGAACACGGGGUCCCUCUUUGGGGACUCUGUCAGAUGACAGAUGAACUUUUGGAUAGUUGUUGGUUAGUUGAACUUGAAGCUCUUAAAGCUGGCCAGACACAGCAUCGAUCUUCAUUUUGGCGUAGCUAAGAAACGAAGAACAGAGGCAGAGAGAGAGAGAGAAAUCAUGAGGAAAGCUUCUUAAAAAUGUUGCACACGUACAGCCAAUUGUGAGCAAACAUGCCCCAAAAAGAGGGCUGGGGUGGAGUCAAGGAACUUUGCCGCCAUAUCCCCAAUUCCCCUGACAGGCGGAGGCACAGGCAGAGGCAACUUCAUCAGGCAGUAGCCGCAUCCACAUCC
rnacentral:sRNA from 1 species